ensembl:lncRNA DLGAP2-AS1 DLGAP2 antisense RNA 1
GAUUUGGACCUGCUGAUUCUAGGGCACUUCCAAGAAGUCUGUGAAAGAACAGAGCAAGUGUGACGGGCAGGGCUGUGAACCUCUGAGUGCUUCAGAUGUAAAAGUGUGGAAGACGUCGGGCUGUGAGUGUCACGCAGCAGAAAGGUGGAGGAGGCCUCUCAGGUCGGAAGUAACAUGGUGCGCAGAAGGCAGUUUGUAUGCACAGUGGAGCACAUGUGUUGAUGCCUGAAAGCCCACAUUGAGAUCCUGGCUCAACCUCUCGCCAACGGUGUCAUUUGGACAAAUCUCUUAAUCUAUGCAACGUACAAUGAGGACAGUAGUCACAGGACAUAACUUAUGGAGUUCUGUGAAUAUAAGGGAAUCUCCUCAUCUUUGCCACCGGUGGGGUACCCUCCCCACUCAUCCUGAGGUACCUGGGAGCAGACAGACAUGAAACACGCAUCAACUUUGUCACUGAGAACGGCAGCAUCAGCUCCUUUUUGGAAACAAAUCCUCUACAAUUCCAUAAAGAUACACCUCUUUACAGUCAUUUAUCAGUUAAAGUCAGAUGUAUAAAAAUGCAUAUCCUAAAAGGAAAUGAAUAUAAA